rnacentral:rRNA from 1 species
CUUGCUUCUCUUGAGAGCGGCGGACGGGUGAGUAAUGCCUAGGAAUCUGCCUGGUAGUGGGGGGUAACGUCCGGAAACGGACGCUAAUACCGCAUACGUCCUACGGGAGAAAGCAGGGGACCUUCGGGCCUUGCGCUAUCAGAUGAGCCUAGGUCGGAUUAGCUAGUUGGUGGGGUAAUGGCUCACCAAGGCGACGAUCCGUAACUGGUCUGAGAGGAUGAUCAGUCACACUGGAACUGAGACACGGUCCAGACUCCUACGGGAGGCAGCAGUGGGGAAUAUUGGACAAUGGGCGAAAGCCUGAUCCAGCCAUGCCGCGUGUGUGAAGAAGGUCUUCGGAUUGUAAAGCACUUUAAGUUGGGAGGAAGGGCAGUAAAUUAAUACUUUGCUGUUUUGACGUUACCGACAGAAUAAGCACCGGCUAACUCUGUGCCAGCAGCCGCGGUAAUACAGAGGGUGCAAGCGUUAAUCGGAAUUACUGGGCGUAAAGCGCGCGUAGGUGGUUCGUUAAGUUGGAUGUGAAAUCCCCGGGCUCAACCUGGGAACUGCAUUCAAAACUGACGAGCUAGAGUAUGGUAGAGGGUGGUGGAAUUUCCUGUGUAGCGGUGAAAUGCGUAGAUAUAGGAAGGAACACCAGUGGCGAA